AAAAGUUAGAUAUAAUAUUACCAAUAAAUAAUUUAGAAACAUUUAAAUUAUUUGAUAAUAUUCUUGAGCAAGAUGUAUCAAAACAGAAUGCAUUGAGAAAUUAUUUUUAUUUUUUAAUUGAUGGAAAUCAAGGUAUAAAUCAUGAUAUUUAUACAAUCAUGAGUACAGUAACAACAAAAUCUGUACAAAUAUGUUAUUCCGGUGUAGGUAAAGAAAAAAAUGGACAAAAAAAAAAAAA